UACGUAGGGGGCGAGCGUUGUCCGGAAUCAUUGGGCGUAAAGCGCGUGUAGGCGGCCCGGUAAGUCCGCUGUGAAAGUCCAGGGCUCAACCCUGGGAUGCCGGUGGAUACUGUCGGGCUCGAGUCCGGAAGAGGCGAGUGGAAUUCCUGGUGUAGCGGUGAAAUGCGCAGAUAUCAGGAAGAACACCCGUGGCGAAGGCGGCUCUGUGGGACGGUACUGACGCUGAGACGCGAAAGCGUGGGGAGCGAACAGG
rnacentral:rRNA from 1 species